UAGGGUGGUAUAUUCUCUUUAAGUAUUUGGUGUGAUAUUCUCUUUAAGUAUUUUAUCCAGUUCUAUUGUCCUGUAUAUCCAGUAAGUUUUGUUUUUCCAGUUGGUAUAAUUAGUUUAGUUUAUAGUUUAAACAUGUUAUUUUAACAUGGUGAGUAGUAUUCUGUUACUUAGAUACUGUCCUAACAUCAUGUUUCACCUUUAGUCACUUUUUCUUAGAUCUCCAUCUUGAAGGCAACACUUUCUUUCCACAGCACUGCAUUUACUAAUUCGGUGUUUCUCUCUUUUGUACCUGUAUAUGGUUUCCUUAUACAUUAUUAGUUCUAAUUCUUCAUUUCUUAAGAGCACCUUUAUCAGGUGCUCUUCUUCUUGUCUUCUACUUGGUUCUUCUUUCUGUAAAUAAUUGGCUGUUUUGUUCCUGUGUAUUGUAAAUAAACUGUAUAGCUGUGUUCCUGUCUUUGUCUCUUUUCGUUCAACCCGCGACCUGGAAAGGGGAUAGUCCGUUGUCCAUCGAUCCUGCUACA